CCAGACUCCUACGGGAGGCAGCAGUGGGGAAUAUUGCACAAUGGGGGAAACCCUGAUGCAGCGACGCCGCGUGAAGGAAGAAGUAUUUCGGUAUGUAAACUUCUAUCAGCAGGGAAGAAAAUGACGGUACCUGACUAAGAAGCCCCGGCUAACUACGUGCCAGCAGCCGCGGUAAUACGUAGGGGGCAAGCGUUAUCCGGAUUUACUGGGUGUAAAGGGGGCGCAGACGGCGAUGCAAGCCAGGAGUGAAAGCCCGGGGCCCAACCCCGGGACUGCUCUUGGAACUGCGUGGCUGGAGUGCAGGAGGGGCAGGCGGAAUUCCUGGUGUAGCGGUGAAAUGCGUAGAGAUCGGGAGGAACACCAGUGGCGAAGGCGGCCUACUGGGCUUUAACUGACGCUGAGGCACGAAAGCGUGGGUAGCAAACAGGAUUAGAUACCCGUGUA
rnacentral:rRNA from 1 species